CCCACGCUCCUCACCCACAGGUAUGGCUUGAUCCUUCCCAGCAAGAACAAGAACAAGGUUGGGGGAGAGCUAGGCACGCGGAAACUCAACCCUCUGCAGGACUCAGAUGACGAGCUGGACCAGGAUGAAGAGUACCCCCUUGACUGGGUGGAGGCAUCCCUCAAGAGUGUGAUCUUCAGAGAGAAUACAAGAGGCACAGAGCAGCAACACACACACACACACACGCACGGAUUGCCUUGUGUUGAGACGUCUGGAAGGGUAGCGUGUUGGCCGGCUCCUUGUGUCUUCCCAGCCAUGGAGUGCACAGACAUGAAUAAGGCCAUGGAUGUGCAGGCUGCUGCUGGUGGUGCCGCAGAACAGUGUGUCCAGGUCCCUGUUCUCCGCCCGGCACCUGUACGUCCCCUCGUCCUCCUCCUGCAGGCCAUGGAUGUGCAGGCUGCUGGUGG